GAGGGUAUAGCUCAAGUGGUAGAGCAUAUGCUUAGCAUGCACGAGGUCCCAGGUUCAAACCCCAGUACCUCCU
rnacentral:tRNA from 1 species